CGAGGGCACGCCUGCCUGGGUGUCAC
rnacentral:rRNA from 1 species